rnacentral:rRNA from 1 species
GACGAACCGUACGAACGUUAUUCGGAAUCACUGGGCUUAAAGGGUGCGUAGGCGGUGCGGAAAGUUGGGUGUGAAAUCCCUCGGCUCAACCGAGGAAUUGCGCCCAAAACUACCGUGCUCGAGGGAGACAGAGGUGAGUGGAACUUAGGGUGGAGCGGUGAAAUGCGUUGAUAUCCUAAGGAACACCAGUGGCGCAAGCGACUCACUGGGUCUCUUCUGGCGCUGAGGCACGAAAGCUAGGGGGGCAAACGGG